AAGUCCUCCCGCGCCCGGCCGGCACCAAAGAAAGCCGGCCCUGCAACUUUCAAGUUCGGGACGGAGGAGGGCAGAGACCGAGGCGCUGUCCGGAAAAGAAGGACAGGAGAUGCCGCCGUCCUGGGGGACGCAAGGGACCGUCAGCCCUAGGCUACACCGGAAAUCCAGACACUGACCCCAGCCCAGAAUUCCCGAGAAGGCGGCUUCCAGUCACUUCCAGUGAGGAAACUGAGGCCUUGUGAGCGAAAUGGAAGAAAAACAACAACAAAUGUGUCCAAGGCCACACUGCUGAAAUUUCAUCAGAGCCCUUGCCCUUGGCGUUGGCGCAAACCCACCCACGCAGCGGCGGUGCAGAUUUCCUGCCCUCAAAUGCUCCUUGGGUCCCUUGACUGUCUGAAAUCCGUCUCACGAAAGAGAAA